rnacentral:lncRNA from 1 species
GGCCUUAAUGAAGCAUACAUGGGGGUAAGGAGUAACCUACUGAUGAUGCAGCAUCCUCUUUUCAGUUCCUUAUGGGCCUUAAUGAAGCAUACAUAGGGGUAAGGAGUAAUCUAUUGAUGACGCAGCCUCCUCCUACCCUUGACAGUGUCUACAAUAUGGUCCUCAAUGAUGAGAAGCAGAGACAUACCGAUGAUGCAGCCUCCUCCUACCCUUGACAGUGUCUACAAUAUGGUCCUCCAUGAUGAGAAGCAGAGACAAGUCCAGUCCCUCUCUCAGUUUAAUCCAGACUCUAUGUCUUUCAAUGUCCACAAAAACAAAAAUUCAACUGGAUUCAAUAAGGCCACAGUGCCUAAUUCUUCUCAUUUUAGACAAAGAGUUAACUUUGACCAAGCUAGAAACUCUUUAUUCUGUAGAUACUAUAAGAAAUAUGGGCACUUAAUUGAUAAGUGUUACAAGAUUCAUGUGUAUCUACAAAGUACAACAUUUAACAAG